rnacentral:rRNA from 1 species
CUCUAAGGUGACUGACCGGCGUAAAAGUCGGAGGAAGGUGGGGGAGUGACGUCAAAUCAUCAUGCCCCUUAUGACCUGGGCUACACACGUGCUACAAUGGGCGGUACAAAGGGUCGCGAACCCGCGAGGGGGGAGGCCAAUCCCAAAAAGCCGCUCUCAGUUCGGAUUGCAGGCUGCAACUCGCCUGCAUGAAGCCGGAAUCGCUAGUAAUCGCGGAUCAGCAUGCCGCGGUGAAUACGUUCCCGGGCCUU